rnacentral:rRNA from 1 species
GACGAACGCUGGCGGCGUGCUUAACACAUGCAAGUCGAACGGAAAGGCCCUGCUUUUGUGGGGUGCUCGAGUGGCGAACGGGUGAGUAACACGUGAGUAACCUGCCCUUGACUUUGGGAUAACUUCAGGAAACUGGGGCUAAAACCGGAUAGGAGCUCCUGCUGCAUGGUGGGGGUUGGAAAGUUUCGGCGGUUGGGGAUGGACUCGCGGCUUAUCAGCUUGUUGGUGGGGUAGUGGCUUACCAAGGCUUUGACGGGUAGCCGGCCUGAGAGGGUGACCGGCCACAUUGGGACUGAGAUACGGCCCAGACUCCUACGGGAGGCAGCAGUGGGGAAUAUUGCACAAUGGGCGGAAGCCUGAUGCAGCAACGCCGCGUGCGGGAUGACGGCCUUCGGGUUGUAAACCGCUUUCGCCUGUGACGAAGCGUGAGUGACGGUAAUGGGUAAAGAAGCACCGGCUAACUACGUGC